rnacentral:rRNA from 1 species
GCUUACGGCCAUACCAACCAUUCUGCGCCCGAUCUCGUCUGAUCUUGGAAGCUAAGCAGCGUGGGCCUGGUUAGUACUUGUAUGGGAGACUGCUUGGGAAUACCAGGUGCUGUAAGCU